GAGGAGGGGGUGCGGGGAACGCGGAAGGACCCGGCGAGCCCGGCGGCCGAGUGCUGAGCGGCUCCCCUUCGCGAGGCAGCGGGAUCCGCCGAGCGCCCGAGUGCCCAGCCCCGCCGGCGCGAUGGAGGCGCCGCUGCUGUGGUUCUGCAACUGCAGCGCGCUGGGCGUGAGCGCUGCGCUCAAGCUGCCGCAGAUCUCGUCGGUGCUGAGGGCGCGCAGCGCGCGGGGCAUCAGCCUUCCGAGCCUCCUUCUGGAGCUGGCGGGGUUCCUGGUCUUUCUCCGGUACCAGAGUUACUAUGAGUACCCGCUGCUGACUUACCUGGAGUACCCCAUCCUCUUGACACAAGAUUUCGUCCUCCUGCUGUGCAUCUUCCACUUCAGCGGGCGUGUGGAGCGGGCUGCGUUCUACAUUGCCCUCUUUGUGUCUGCUUGGUUCGUCCUCAGCCUGCGGAAGUGGAUCAUGGAUCUGGCCAUGAACUUCUGUACAUUGAUCAGCGCAGCCAGUAAAUUUGCGCAGCUCCAGUACCUAUGGAAGACCCGGGACUCGGGAGCCGUGAGUGCCCUGACGUGGAGCCUCGCUUCGUACAGCUGCGCAGUAAGAAUAAUAACGACGCUAAUGACCACCAAUGAUCUUACAAGGUCUUCCUGAAAGUGAUCUGAGAAGAACCUUUUGAAAACAGUUUACUGUUCGAGCCACUAAGUUCUUACGCGUUUUGUGGUCACGCUGGCUUUAAAUAUAUGGGUAACAGCUACAAUACUUCGCUACCGGAAGACUGCUGUCAAGGCUGAGUGAUGGACACGUAAUAGUCCUACAGAGUGGAUUUUGAAUAACUGAACCAAAGGCAAAAAGCUCAUUGCUAAACCAGGUCUUUUAUAAAUUCAGCCAGUCGUGCCAAAGGUAUUUUAGACUUGAAAGAGCCCACUUACACCCUUGUCUAAACAUGUCAAUUUUUAACCCCGCCGCCACCUCAGUAGGUUCAAGUAGGCUCAGAGUAUCUGCCGUUUUGCGAAGGCUGGUGGUAGCUGGUCUUGCAGGAGCCCCAUUUCGAGGCGAUAGCUUUGACCCAUAUCACUCAAGUCACAGUUAAGUUCUCUCCAAAAAACUACAUACAUCUACUUUGCAGCAUUCGGAAUCUUGUAGGAAAUAAACCCCCUCCACAACCCAAAUGAGCAUGAAUAGGAGUUUGCUCAGUGUGGGAUUGUGAUAAGUGACCAGGGUUUGCUUCCCGGGACUAAUGUUUAACUGCCCUAUAGAUGUAACAGGACGGCCUUAUUGGAUGUUACUGCAUGAUAGCUCCUUAAGCUAUAGCAAGGAUAUCAAGACCAGCAAAAAUGUAACUGGCUUGAGUUCACAUACCAAAGCAGGUCUUUAACCUCACACUGUGCCUUUAAAUAACGCCUAACGAACGGAGCCUGCAGUCUCUACUUGUGAUGAGGUGACCCCACUAUACUGAUGCCAGCACCAGGUUUAUGCUGCCGGUUUUAAAAAGGACCACACCUACGUAGUUACUGUUAUUAGAAUUUGGCACAAAAUAUAGCUGGCCUCCACCAGGCUUUGCCUAUUGAAAAUAUAUGCAGUAAAGGGUAUUGCUGAGUUCUGACAAGUUCUUAUGGAUUUUAUUCUCAUUAUAGUAUCACAUUCUAAACAUGAUAAAAUUAUUGUAAGAUUUCUUACAUUUUUCCUGUAAAAAAGCUCAUAAACCCUAACACUGAAAACUCUCGUUCCCCUAAUAAUUGAAUGGCAUUAUUUUAUUAUAUGCAGUAAGUGAUGUUUAUUGGAAAAUAUUUUAGUUUCUUGUGUACAAUAAACUAUCAUAUUUUGAACUCUG